AUAUAGUCAAAGGAAUACACCAGC
rnacentral:siRNA from 1 species